rnacentral:lncRNA from 1 species
AGAAUGAGAGGGGUUCCAAAGCGCUGUGGCAGCUUUCCAAUGGCUGGCCUGUACUUUUACAUUUAAAGUAAGCAGGUGGCAUCAAUGGGCUGUCUAAUGACUAACAAGAUAAGAGUGCAAUUGAUCUUUUUAUUAACCCGUUUCCCCAGGUGGGUGGCAGCCUGCUCCUCCCUCCUGGGUUCAGUUACAUUGUUCAGUUCCAGGAAUCAUUUUAGACUCUUUUGGUUUUUUGUCUGAGCUGAUACUUAAAACAUAGGAGCACAAACGCUGAUAUUCCGUGUCCUCUAAAUCCUAUCCUCUCUGGACCUCCAAACUGGUCGCAGACCACUUACUCUAGACCUCACGACUAGUUCUGAAGAGUAUGGAGCCUACAUAGAUUCAUAAGGGCAGAAAGGAGAGAGAUGGGGCUUACAGGAGAAGUUACAUAAGCUACUAUACAGAAAGGAAUGAACACAAUGUGCCCGAGGAAGUUGGGGAGAUCAGCCUGGCUGUCACAGGAGGUUGCUCUUUGCUCACUUGAUGAAAAUGUUUUGCUUUUUUUAAAUUGGCAAAGUGGAAAAUUGAAGAGCCGUUGAGAAAAAUAAACCCAAUUCUUCAUGUGAACAAUUGUCUCACGCUGAUGUCUUGAAACCAGAAAGCUUUCUGCUAUUUAUUUACCAGAGAUGAGUACAGAUCAUUUCAUUGUGCAUCGAUUUUCUCUAAGGAGGGAGGAAGUGUGGUCAGCUAAACAAGACACUGAAAUGGGGAAUCAGCAGCCACAACUCCUAUUGUCAUCUCCAGCUGCAGAAUUUGCUCAGACUCUUAGAAACUCACUUGAUUGCUAUGAUCCUGGUUUUUUGGUUUGUUUCUUUUUUUGUUUCCUUUGGUUGUUUUGUUUUUUUAAUCAACAAGAUCGAACUUAUAGAUUAAAUUCUUUGAGUUCUUUUGUUGGGUUAUUUUAAUUGGUCUGGUCUAUACACAAUAUAUUGAUAAAAUGAGAGCCAAUACAAUUGGACACCAUUCAGGAAUAGAAUCAUUCCACAUUCAUGUAGCCAAAUGUUUACUGGGAGCCUACUGUCUACUGGGCACUGAGCUGGGCAUUGCAUAGUGUAUUUGCUCCUUACAUCACGAGACAAUUAUGAAACUGACAUUAUGUGCAAAUAUAAACUUCCCAGAAGAUCAAUACUAUAUGAAUUAAGAAUAAUUAUCCAAAAAAAGAUCACUACACUUUAAAUACAAAGAACUCCUUUAUUUUUGAAAAACACUUGUUAAACACAUAAAAAAUUUCAAAUUCCUUAACCUGUUUUUAUUCUGUUUUCAAAUUACUGUUUUUAAAUUUGUGAAAUAUGUCCAUUGUACACAUUUGGAAACUUGGUAUACUUAUUUGUGUAUUUACAUAUGUAUAUGCUUAUGCUGGAAACACAUAUAUCUGUGCCUUUCAAAUUAUAAAUUAGAACUCACAGUAACACUGUUUCAAAUUAAAAUUAUUUCACCCUCAUUAGGAGGGAACCUGCUAUUUUUUUCUAUUAUCAAGUUUUUUUAUGCCAGUUCUGUCUUCUUGGUUACAGUGAAAGAUUAAAAAUAAAUAGAUAAAUAAAAUGUCCUUUUCAAAUUGUUAGUUUUAUAUUCAUGCUGUUUUUUUCGUUUAUCAUUGAAAAUGUUUUUAGGAUUGGAUGUUUAACAAGAAAUUCUGUGACUUGUGCUAGAUUUUAUUUAUAUUUUGCUCUUUACACCUAUAUUAGAUAUGAAUCUAGUUAAGCUAUUAUAACAGAGAAACUCCAAAACACAGAAGCUCAUACGAGAUAAAAGUUUAUUCUGUCUCACAUAACAGUUUAGACUGGCAGGACUGUUGGUGUAUGGCAGCUGUACAGUGUCAGGGGCCCAGGCUCCCUCUGUCUAAUUGCUCUGCUAUCCUCAACUCUGUCUUUCAUCUCCUGACCCAAUGUGGCUGCUGCAGCUCCAGCCAUUAUGUUUGCCUGCAGCCAGCAGGAAAAGAGAAAGGGGUAAAGGAAUGCAUACUCCUUUCUUUUGAAAGCAUAAACUGAGAUUUUCACAUAUAACUUCUGAAAUGAUCCAUGGCAGAUGUUCAGGCACACCCACACUGGAAGACAUGAUGAGGUCAUGCGAUGCCUGCACAUAUACACAGGUUCUCUGAACAUAACAGCGAACAGCAAAAGUGCAACCUCAGACCAGGACACUGUGUUAUGCUGAGGCAGCAGUAUCGUGGGUGAUUUUCUGAAAUGGUAUACAACUCAGGGA